rnacentral:rRNA from 1 species
CAGUAGCCACGGUAAUACGGAGGGGGCUAGCGUUGUUCGGAAUUACUGGGCGUAAAGCGCACGUAGGCGGCUUGGUAAGUUAGAGGUGAAAGCCUGGAGCUCAACUCCAGAAUUGCCUUUAAGACUGCCGAGCUAGCAGGUGAGAGAGGUAAGUGGAAUUCCGAGUGUAGAGGUGAAAUUCGUAGAUAUUCGGAAGAACACCAGUGGCGAAGGCGGCUUACUGGCUCAUACUGGACGCUGAGGUGCGAAAGCGUGGGGAGCAAACAGGAUUAGAUACCCCGGUAGUCCCUGUCUCUUAUAC